rnacentral:rRNA from 1 species
UACGGAAGGCAGCAGUGGGGAAUAUUGCACAAUGGGCGCAAGCCUGAUGCAGCCAUGCCGCGUGUAUGAAGAAGGCCUUCGGGUUGUAAAGUACUUUCAGUCGUGAGGAAGGUGUUAAGGUUAAUAACCUUAGCAAUUGACGUUAGCGACAGAAGAAGCACCGGCUAACUCCGUGCCAGCAGCCGCGGUAAUACGGAGGGUGCGAGCGUUAAUCGGAAUUACUGGGCGUAAAGGGCACGCAGGCGGUUAAUUAAGUUGGAUGUGAAAUCCCCGGGCUUAACCUGGGAAUGGCAUUCAAGACUGGUUAGCUAGAGUCUUGUAGAGGGGGUAGAAUUCCAUGUGUAGCGGUGAAAUGCGUAGAGAUGUGGAGGAAUACCGGUGGCGAAGGCGGCCCCCUGGACAAAGGACUGACGCUCAUGUGCGAAAGCGUGGGGAGCAAACAGGGAUUAGAUACC